UAUGUACAUGCUAACAAUGUUAAUGCAUUGAAUCCAUUUAGAAGUCCACAGUUAAGUGCGCUUGGGUUAGAUUCGUACCAAGAUGGGUGACCUCCCGGGAAGUCCUGGUGUUUUACAUGC
rnacentral:rRNA from 1 species